UACGUAGGGUGCAAGCGUUGUCCGGAUUUAUUGGGCGUAAAGAGCGUGUAGGCGGCUAGGUAGGUCCGUUGUGAAAACUCGAGGCUCAACCUCGAGACGCCGGUGGAAACCAUCUAGCUAGAGUCCGGAAGAGGAGAGUGGAAUUCCUGGUGUAGCGGUGAAAUGCGCAGAUAUCAGGAAGAACACCCGUGGCGAAGGCGGCUCUCUGGGACGUGACUGACGCUGAGACGCGAAAGCGUGGGGAGCGAACAGG
rnacentral:rRNA from 1 species